rnacentral:lncRNA from 1 species
AAGAAAUUGAUGCUGCAGGAGAGAGGGAAUAAUUGCUGAAGCAAAGAUCUUGAGGCCUGCUUCCACUGAGGGACUGAAGGCUCCUUGAGCAAAAUUAUCUACCUCUUCACCUUUGGAUCUUUCACAGUUCCCAGUUCAGUGUACUACAGAUUGUACUUGCUAAGUAAAAAAUCAUUGUCAUGGUUUACCUAAA